rnacentral:rRNA from 1 species
UGACCUCAAAUCAGGUAGGACUACCCGCUGAACUUAAGCAUAUCAAUAAGCGGAGGAAAAGAAACUAACAAGGAUUCCCUUAGUAGCGGCGAGCGAAGCGGGAUGAGCUCAAAUUUGAAAUCUGGCGUCUUUCAGGCGUCCGAGUUGUAAUCUAUAGAAGCGUUUUCUGUGCUGGACCAUGUCCAAGUCCCUUGGAACAGGGUAUCAAAGAGGGUGACAAUCCCGUACUUGACAUGACCACCAGUGCUCUGUGAUACGUUUUCGACGAGUCGAGUUGUUUGGGAAUGCAGCUCAAAAUGGGUGGUAAAUUCCAUCUAAAGCUAAAUAUUGGCGAGAGACCGAUAGCGAACAAGUACCGUGAGGGAAAGAUGAAAAGCACUUUGGAAAGAGAGUUAAACAGUACGUGAAAUUGUUGAAAGGGAAACGAUUGAAGUCAGUCGUGUCUAUUGGUUUCAGCCGGUUCUGCCGGUGUAUUACCUUUAGACGGGUCAACAUCAGUUUUGGACGGCACAUAAGAGCAGUUUGAAUGUAUCACCUCCCGGUGUGUUAUAGCUUACUGUUGCAUAUGCUGUCCGAGACUGAGGACUGCAGCUCGCCUUUUAGGCCGGGGUUCGCCCACGUUCGAGCUUAGGAUGUUGACAUAAUGGCUUUAAACGACCCGUCUUGAAACACGGACC